GACAGGCCUCCUUUGCAGCUGGGCAGCAUCACUGCACCAGGAGGUGUUUCUAAUGGAGGAGAAUGGAGAUCCAACCCAUGGAAGCAGCCUGGAGUUCGUGUUACCUGUGGAUCUUCAACUUAGACUGGCUUCUCAUGAGUGUGGCUUUCUCCCUCCCUGGAUUGUGGACUGGCUUGACGAUGACUCCGUUUGACGGACUUGGAAACUACGUAUCCUUUUGGCUUCUUCAGCGAUGACUCUGGGAUUACGGUUGGCUUUGGCAAACUCCUUCUUGCAGUUAACUCUGGAAACAUCGCUCUCUGGUGGAACUAUUGUGUACAGCGCUGUUUGUUUGCUGGUUACUUUGACUACUGUUUAAUCUGGUUUUUCCUCCUGUUUAAUUCGGAUUAUUUUCUGUUUGCCUUUUGGAGCCCAGUUUGGGUAAAUUCUUUGAGUUUUGGCCAGAGACACUGAAGUUAAGUGUCUCUGAGCUUUUAUUUGUUUUUUGCAAUAAACCUUUUGUUGGACUAAA